rnacentral:lncRNA from 1 species
ACACAGGAUUAGAGACAGCUGCGUUAGGCAAUGAGGAGCCACUGGGAGUGUCUGAGGGGUGAUGUAAGCUGAGGUGCACUCUGAGAAGAUUACUCUUAUCACUUUGGUUUAGAUGGAAUUAGUGAAAUGAAAAUGGGAGUGUCAGGGACAAUGGAGAAGAUACCAACGCAUUUACAGAGCCGGCUUUGAUCAGGAGAAUAUGGAGGAGGGGAACGUGGUAGCCAUGGAAGCGCGCUCAGCUCCGGCUACAGGAGCGCGGUUGACCGAGAGCGCCCGCUGCUGGCGCCUUGCACCCGCUGCCUCGUUCCGCUGGACGUCACUUCCCUGAGCCUGCGGUUACUGCGCAGGCGGGUGCCUGCAGGUGACUUGGCCAAGGAGUCACACUGCAGCAUGCAGAGUGUCUUCCUACGCACCCUUAUGCUUCCUCCCUCUCAUCACAGGCGUGAGACCUGCACUGGGUCUGGUGGGCUCCGCGUCUGCUCCUGGUCCCUUGAUCCUUCCCAGGCCCAAGAAAACGGAUGAGGUUUGGGAACUGGCUCACUCACUGCCUGGCUAUCAAAGAGGACCGUGACAUCUGUGCCAUUUACCAAGUAUGCAUCCCAUAUGCGAUACCAUCUAAUAGUUGCGGCAGUCUGGUGAGGGAUGUGAGCUGUGAGGAAACUGGGAGGGAAAACAAGAGUAUUUAAAUGGUUGCCCAAGGACUUGACAGCUAAUGAAUGGUACAGCAGUGGCUAAAGUGCUGUCUUCCAACUCCUAAUGCCAUACUCUUUCCAUCCGUGUAAUGAUAUUCAAGUGUUUGCCUAAACAUUUUUAAGGCAACAUAAGACUGUUACUCAAAUACAAAUUUUAUUUUAUUAUUAUUUGUAAUCAACUCUGCAAAUGUUCUAUACAGGGCUGCCACCAUAGUAAACAUACACCAUUUUAGUUAUUUAUUAUUAUUAUUUUUAAAAUUUUUGUCUUUUCAGGGCCGCACCCAUGGCACAUGGAGGUUUCCAGGCUAGAGGUCAAAUCAGAGCUACAGCUGCCAGCCUAUGCCACCCACAGCAACACAGGAUCCAAGUUGCAUCUGCAAUCUACACCACUGCUCGUGGCAACGCCAGAUCCUUGAUCCACCACUGAGUGAGGCCAGGUAUUGAACCCACAACCUCAUGGUUCCUAGUCGGAUUCAUUUCCGCUGCUCCACAAUGGAAACUCCAAACAUAGGCCAUUUUAUAUUCAUUUUUUUCCACGUAGCAUGAUAAUGUAAUGAUUUUUCUGUGUUGUGGCAUAGCCUUUAUAAUGAUUACUUUUCAUACAAUUGCAUUUAUUAGAAAAUAAUAAAUCUGACCAUUUCCCAUCCAUUUUCGGGGUGGGGUGGUACUGCUACUUCAAAACAUCUGGGAGUUCCCGUUGUGGCUCAGUGGUUAAGGAAUCCGACUAGGAACCAUGAGAUUGAAGGUUCGAUCCCUGGCCUUGCUCUGUGGGUUAAGGAUACUGCAUUGUUGUGAGCUGUAGUGUAGGUCGCAGACGUAGCUCGGAUCCUACAUUUUUGUGGCUCUGGUGUAGGCUAGGGGUCAAAUUGAAGCUGUAGCUGCCGGCCUACGCCAUAGCCACAAGCAAUGCCAUAUCCCAGCCGCGUCUGCGAUCUACAACACAGCUGAUGGUAACGCUGGAUCCUUAACCCACUGAGCGAGGCCAGGGAUCAAAUGCACAACCUCAUGGUUCCUGGUCAGAUUCGUUUCUGCUGUGCCACGACGGGAGCUCCUAAUCUUCGUUUUACAGAUAAGGAAGCUGAGAUGCAGAGAACACAGUUAGCAAAAGGCAAUGCUAGGUCUUCAUGUAACAGAGCUCUUCCAAUUACAGAGCUAUCAAUAGAGAAUUGCAUGUCUUCACCUGAUGAGGUUGCCGUGCCAGGAGUUGAAACACUAGCCUUGUGAAAUAAUGCUGACUUCUCACAUGGCCAGCCUCUCCAGCUUUCAAAAACUCCACCAGGUUCAAGAGAGCACCUCCAGCUGUCUUCUUCCAGGACCGUGAUACCUAAGCAGGGUGGGCUGAGAGGGGAGGGGCCAGGAGGGGGGGAGAGGAGUCAGAAUUCCCUUCCUUGGAUUCCAAGAACCCUGGGUGGGGGUGGGGGGGGCAUGUGUGUGUGCCUGGAUCUGGUAGGUGCUAGGCCAGCAAGGUGGGAGGGAAGGGGCUGGAGAGAUGGAGAAUCAUUGAUUAAAGCUGACAGUCUACUGACUGUCAGGAUUGGGCUUUCUCUUUCGGCUCAUUUUUCAGAGCAUUUCUCACCAUUCCAUUUAAUUCUGAUUACAAAUUAUCCAUUCCUCAUGCACAAAGUAUAAGAAUAAAGAAAAUUUAAACCCAGGCAAUGAAAACAGAUCAAGGAAGGGCAUUUCAACCCUCAUUUCAUUCUAAUUGUAGGAAGAAACAAACAGCAAUUUGACCCCCGUUUUACUUCCUAGUGGCUGAGUGGCCCCUUCACCUCAGGGAAAAGACCUGACCUGGAAACUAGGUGUGCCAAAGAACUUGAAAACCAACAGGUUCUAUGACAUGAAUAGUUUCAUUAAAAGUAUCCUCCAUAUUUACCUCAUGAGAGGCUUCCAGGAAGUUUCUCUUCCCUCCUUCAUCUGCUGCCUGGGAUGCAGAUGUGUUGACUGGAGCUCAGCAGUCAACUUGAACCAUGAGGCACACCCAAGGAGGGUGCUGCAUUGAGCUGCAAAGACCCCCAAGGACCCAUGGAGCUGUGCCACUGCCUGAACUGCUGGCCCCUGGACUUCUAUCCUGUGAGAGGGGAAUCACGGAGAAGGCCAAGUGCAACACCUUUAAGGGGCCAAUCACAGAAAGAGAGGCCCCCUCUACAGAGUAUAAGAACCCCAGCAUCUCAUGGCUGAUGGCACAAGAUUGCCCUGAAGGGUCCAUUCUGAUUCUCUGCUUUUCCAGUGCUUGCAUGUUGAAUCCGGAUUUGGCAGUAGCAGGAGCUCUUGAGAGGACCUGGUCGAGAGAGGCCUGGAAGCCCCUGGGGAGAGAGGAAAUCACACCUACAUUGUGACUGAUGAACUAGUGCAGACACCUUCCUGGAGAAAUGCUUCUCAGUCAAGGUGAAGGAGCCAUCUCUAAGUGUCCAAUAUGGAUCUGUUGUGGAAUGAUACUUUCAUAAAACACAAUUAAAAUGGAAAUUUUAAAAAGACUGGGCAUUCCUAUCAUGGCUCAGCAGUAGCAAACCCAACUAGUAUCCAUGAGGAUGCAGGUUCAAUCCCUAGCCUUGCACAGUGAGUUAAGGAUCUGGCAUUGCCGUGAGGUGCGGUGCAGGUUGCAGACUUGGCUUGGAUCUGGCAUUGGGGUGUGGCUCUAAAGAGCAAAAAAAAAAAGAGAAAUUAAAAGACAUUUUUUCUAUUCUUUUUCUUUAUUAUUUGAACAUACUCAUGUACAAUAUAUCGAGAUAUGUAAAAAAAUAUAUUGAGAUACAUAUAUAUGUAUACUCAAAUGUUACACUCUUUUUAACACAGUCACCUCAAUUACUUGGAUAAAUCUCACAGUUUUAAUUAUUAGAUUGGACAGACCUAAAAUCACUCUGUCGAACUGAAAUAAAAUUUCUCAUCACAGCUGCUCUCAGGUUUUGUCCUUGCCUCCUCAAGGACUGGGGACACUCCACAGACCAGCACUGGGUAGCAUGGACUUUUAACUCAGACCCAAAAGGAAUAUUGUGUGCAUGAUACAUAUAUUAAUAGAAGUGUUUAGUCUGGGAAGUUCCCGUCGUGGCGCAGAGGAAAUGAAUCUGACUAGAAAUCAUGAGGUUUUGGGUUUGCUCCCUGGCCUCACCUAGCGGAUCAAGGAUCGGGCAUUGCCAUGAGCUGUGGUGUAGGUCACAGAUGUGGCUCGGACCUGGUGUUGCUGUAGCUAUGAUAUAGGCCAGCAGCUACAGCUCUGAUUAGACCCCUAGAAUGGGAACCUCCAUAUGCUGCAGGUGUGGCACUAAAAACCAAAAGGAAAAAAAAAAAAA